AUGGAUUCACUUGGAGGUCACCACACGGCGGCGGCCCACGCCAAGGUGGAGCUGGAAGCGGAGCUCGGCGAGCGCAACGGCGCCCCCGCCAUCAAUCCCCUCGUCGAGCAAGAAGCACGCGGCCCGAUGCCGAUGGCCGACGACCGGCGGACUCGCCCAGAGCGAGUGCGCCGUCUUAUCCGGAGGCUCCGCCCGGCGCCCAUCGGGAGCGCGUUCAAGCGGUGGCUGAAGCACCCGGCGCACCUCGCGCAGUUCGCGUGGGCGGUCUGCGUCGCGCUGUCGUUCGCCCUGCUCGGCCUCCUCCUCCUCGGCGUCUUCGACGGCGCCUUCCGGCGCAGGUCCGUCCGCGACCGGUGGGUCGAGAUCGUCAACCAGAUCCUGAACGCGCUCUUCACCCUCAUGACCAUCUACCAGCACCCCGAGCUCUUCCACCACGCCGCCCUGCUGCUCCGGUGGCGGCCGGGGGACGAGAAGGAGCUCCGGAAGGCCUACUGCCGGAAGGGCUCGGGUGGCGGUGAAGCGCAGCGGGAGCGGGAGCGGCUUCACCUGUCCGUGGUGGUCGGGCUCCUCCACCUCACCUGCUUCGCGCAGUACGCCAUGUGUGGGCUCUUCUGGGGGUACUCCAGCACAGCCCGCCCAGACGCCGCCAUGACCCCGCUCGCCGGGGUCAGCGCCGUGGCACCCGUCGUCGCUGGCCUGUACAUGUACUACAGCCCGCUUGGGAGGAAAAGCGAGCAAAGCAUGCACCAAGAAACUGAAGAGGUCUGCGACGACGACAGCAUGGUUGCGGCGGUGAUCACCGACCCCGCGGGAAGGGAGUGGGCCGGCGGGCUGCUGGACGUGCGCGACGACCCGGCGGCGUGCUGGCUCUCGUGCCUCUGCACCUUCUGCGUGUUCGGGUGGAACAUGGAGCGGCUGGGGUUCGGGAACAUGCACGUGCACGGCGCCAUGUUCGCGCUCCUCUGCUUCGCGCCGCUGUGGGUGCUCAGCCAUGCCGCCACGAACAUCCGGAGCAAGGCCGUCAGCAACGCGGUCAGCGCCGCCGGGGUGGUGCUCUGCGCGCUCGGCCUGCUCUACGGCGGGUUCUGGCGGGCGCGGAUGCGGCGCAAGUUCGGGCUCGCCGGCAAGGACAGACUACCCUUCUUCUCCUCACUGUCGCUCGACGUCGCCGACUAUCUGCAGUGGAUGUUCUGCUGGGGGUGCGCGCUGGCGCAGGAGGUGCGGACCGGGAACCUUCUCCUCGACGUCGAGUCGACCGGAGGCUCCGGUGGUGUGCAAGUGCAAGUUGAUAACAGCCUACGGCCUUUGCCAAGAGAGGAUGGUAGCUUUGAGAUCGCAGCAGUCGCUGGCACUCCCUCUGUUCCACUGGCCUAUAACUCGCCGCGUCGAGGCGAGGAGUUGCCAUUGGUGCAGCUGAAGCGGGACGGCAGUUGGUCACCUGGAGAAAUGAGGCCACCAGUUCCGCCAUUGAUGCAGGACGGCGGAGGUCCUCAAGGUGGGCGAAUUCAGUGA
rnacentral:rRNA from 1 species